AGGGUUGUAGCUCAAUGGCAAAGCAUCUGCUUUGCAUGCAGAAGGUCCCAGGUUCAAUCCCCAGCGUCUCCA
rnacentral:tRNA from 1 species